rnacentral:rRNA from 1 species
AUUGAACGCUGGCGGCAGGCUUAACACAUGCAAGUCGAGCGGGGUGAUGGUGCUUGCACUAUCACUUAGCGGCGGACGGGUGAGUAAUGCUUAGGAAUCUGCCUAUUAGUGGGGGACAACAUCUCGAAAGGGAUGCUAAUACCGCAUACGUCCUACGGGAGAAAGCAGGGGAUCACUUGUGACCUUGCGCUAAUAGAUGAGCCUAGUCGGAUUAGCUAGUUGGUGGGGUAAAGGCCUACCAAGGCGACGAUCUGUAGCGGGUCUGAGAGGAUGAUCCGCCACACUGGGACUGAGACACGGCCCAGACUCCUACGGGAGGCAGCAGUGGGGAGUAUUGGACAAUGGGGGGAACCCUGAUCCAGCCAUGCCGCGUGUGUGAAGAAGGCCUUAUGGUUGUAAAGCACUUUAAGCGAGGAGGAGGCUCUUUUGGUUAAUACCCAGAAUGAGUGGACGUUACUCGCAGAAUAAGCACCGGCUAACUCUGUGCCAGCCGCCGCCGUAAAAC